rnacentral:rRNA from 1 species
UCAUAAGCGGAGGAAAAGAAACUAACAAGGAUUCCCCUAGUAACGGCGAGUGAACCGGGAAGAGCUCAAAUUUGAAAUCUGGCGUGCUCAGUGCGUCCGAGUUGUAAUCUAUAGAGUCGUUUUCCGUGCCGGACUGUGUCCAAGUCCCUUGGAACAGGGUAUCAAAGAGGGUGAUAAUCCCGUACUUGACACAAUGACCGGUGCUCUGUGAUACGUCUUCUACGAGUCGAGUUGUUUGGGAAUGCAGCUCAAAAUGGGUGGUGAGUUCCAUCUAAAGCUAAAUAUUGGCGAGAGACCGAUAGCGAACAAGUACCGUGAGGGAAAGAUGAAAAGCACUUUGGAAAGAGAGUUAAACAGUACGUGAAAUUGUUAAAAGGGAAACGAUUGAAGUCAGUCGUGACUGAGAGGCUCAGCCGGUUCUGCCGGUGUAUUCCCCUCAGUCGGGUCAACAUCAGUUUUGUUCGGUGGAUAAGGGCGGUUGGAAGGUGGCACCCUCGGGUGUGUUAUAGCCAACUGUCGCAUACAUCGGAUGAGACUGAGGAAUGCAGCUCGCCUUUAUGGCCGGGGUUCGCCCACGUUCGAGCUUAGGAUGUUGACAUC